GCCAGUACCUAGAGUAGAAAUUUCUGCCUCUAAUGUGGGUAAUUUCUUAUAGAUACAUAAAUGCUGACCUCAGAAAGUAAUCUUCUCAUGGAAGAUGAUGAGAUUCAAGUGAUCAUAGAUAUAAUAUUCUUGGGAGAGUACCAGUGGAACAAGAACUGAGAUGUUGAUCAAUUAGACCGGUAGCCUCAUCAAGAUUACCUGCCCUGCCAGUUCUAUACUGCCUCCACCAGAGUGCCUAAGUUGGUGUAAAAGUGGCCACUGAACUUUAGUUCAAGGUCAGCUUCAACGACCAUAUGAAGAUGGUACAGCCUCCCAAUGACCACCACUUGGUGCUCAUUGCCAGCUAAGAAGCAAAUGGAUGGAACUAGAAAAAAAAACUUGAGCAAGGUAACCCAGAUCCAGAAAGACAAACAUGAUGCAUGCAUACCUGGUGUCUAUGGAGGUUAGAAGGGGGCAUUAAAUCCUUGGAAGUGGAGUUACAGAUGGUUGUGAACCACCAUAUGGGUGCUGGAAACUGAAGUCAGGUCCUGUGGAAGAGCAAGUACUAAUAACCACUUAACAAGCUUUCCAUUUUGUUGAGAUAUGUUUAAAUGCAUAUUCUGGUUCCAUAAGUCUGGAUUACAACUUGAAGCUCUGUGUUUACUCAGCUGGAAGGUGAUACAUGUGAACCAUCAUGAAGUAGCAAUAGCAUAGAUAAUUCUUUCUGUAAUCCAACAACUAUGCAUAAAUUUCAAUGGAAAAGAACCUCUCUAGAAAAAAAAUCACUUUAUUCUAUUCUAGAAUAGUUAGAUUACUAGGCAUACCAACUCAAGAACAUUCACUACUUUGUCACUAUGUACAGGCUCACAUGUAUCCAGAUUCUGGUUAAAAAUAUAAAUAAAUGACAACCUAGCUAGUCUGCAAUUCUUGUCUAAAAGGAUUUGUAUGAAGAUUUUCAUAAUGCAGAGUCAACCUCAUCCCCCUAUGACAUAGUAUCUGGCAGAAAAUCAGAGAACUUGUGUUAUAAAUAAGCUUUAAUUAUGAUGAUGUGUGGGAAUCAGUCCUCAAGAAAAGCAAAUUUUGUGUGAUUCUUUGGAGUCUGAGUCUCCUCCUUUAUGGAUGUAAAAAGGGAAGAAUAUGAAAAAAUAUAGUUUGAAUAUUAAAAACCCAUGGCUAUAAAUAAAAAUUAUAAAAAAUAGCAACAGUUAUAAGUGGGAAUGCAUAAGGAACAAGUGGUAAGGAAUGGCUACCUGAGGCCAGCAUUAGAUAUAUAAAAGUUAACAUUCUGAUUUUUCCCAAAGAGCCAAGUAUCUGGCCUUUUUUAAAAAAAAUAUGAGCCACUUAGUUUAUCUGUUACUGCUUCUGAUUUAAACAUUUCAAACACUGCAUUAAAAAAAGGCACCAGUUAUAUUUUCUGGUACUUGGUAGAUAGUGAUAGAUUCAGUAUACACUAAAAAAUAUGACACUUUAAAACUUCUUUAUUAAAGAUUUGUUUUUAUUCAUUUUUAUGUAUAUCAGUGUUUUGCCUGUAUGUAAAUAAAUAUGCCAUGUAUGAAUACACAGGGAUGCAAAGAAGAAUCUAAACAAAAGGCUUGCUAAAUUCCUGCCAGUUUCUUAUCAUGAGAUUAUUCCCUCAUUGUCCAAUCACAUUUCUGUAUCACUGUCCUGUCAUCAGAUCUUAGUGCAAAAUGUGUAGGUUUCUCUGUUCUUUUGGGUGUUCAUGUUUGAAGCACACCAUGUCACAUGAUAAGGACACUAAACAAUUGGCAUUCUUUUCUUUUAAGUCUUCCUUUUGCCCUGGACUCCUCAAUUAUGAACCUUGGAACAAAUGAAGAAAAGAAGUGACCCCCCACAUAGUUCCUAGUAACACAAAUGGUAGAGCAGACAGCAGAUUUAUUCUGGACUCUGCAUAUAAGAGCCUAGAAAAAAUGAUAUAUCCAGUGAAAGAUAAGAUGUCUUCCAAAGAUCAACUCUCCUGAGUUUCUCCUUUUUAAAUUUUAUUUAAUUUUUUUUUAGUAAAAAUACAUUUUUUUCAUACAAUAUAUUCUGAUCACAGUUUUUCUACCACAUUUCCUCCCAGGUUUCCCCACCUCUGCACCCAUCUAAUGCCACAGCGUUUUUUCUCACACUCUUUGGAAAACAAAGAAGCAGUCUCAGUAAGGGUCUAUACCCAAUCACUUCAAAGUACACUAAACCACAGCUGGAAUUCCCCUAAGCAGGCUUAAAAGGGGUUGACUCAUCCUCCCCUGGGGUCAAAGAAGCCAUUUUGGGCAGGCCCCAGCAUACUGAUUUUUCUUGAGAAUAAAGCUGCUUUCUGCAAUUGCAUAUUGGAUGUCUUCUGGGCAUUUGGAGCAAUCUAAGAACCCUACAUCUAGUAAGUCUUGUUUCCUUGGUGUCCUUAUUUUUUUUUUAGGAAUUAUACUUGAGAAACACUCAGGAAAACUUCAGUAGACAUUUAAAAAGCUAGACAUUAUUUAAGUUGUUUCAGAUAAUAUAAAAAUAUAAUAGAUGGCUUACACCUGUAAUCUUAUCAUUGGGAAGACAGAGGCAGGAGGAUUACUACAAGUCUGGGGCCUGAUUUGGCACAGAGCCUAUAUCUCAAAAAAACAACAAUUUAAAAAAAUCACAGAAACAAACUAAAACCCACAGUUCCUCCCUCCUCCUCCUCAUCCUCCUCAUCCUUC